UGGCUUUUUUUUUUUUUUUUUUUUUUUGAAGGUGACAACUGAACAAAGUCAUGAAAAAGUAAGCGAAAGAGCUAUGCAGGUAUGUGAGGAAAAUAUUCUAGGUAGAGGGAAAAGCCAACACAAAGGCUAUUAAUAAAUUGCUGGUGCUUUCCAGCAAAAGCAAUUGGUCAUUGUGGAAGAAACAGAGUGAACAAGGGAGAAAGGUAUGGGAAAUAACAUGAAGGGGGAAAAGAGCCAGAUCAUGUAGGGCCUCCAGGACAUGGUGAGUGCUUUGGCUUUUACACCGAGUGAAAUAGGGAGCUACAAUAGGGGUUUGAGCAGAUGAGUGACAUAAUCUGAUUUACACUUAAAAAAAUUCUGGUGGCUAGAUUAAAAAUAACUGUGGGCAGGAGCAGGGAGAUGAAUUAGUCUAUUGCAGGAGGUGACAGUAGCUUUAACCAAAGUGGUGAUAGUGGACGCUCCAGGCAAAUAGGGUGUCAAAAGCCGAGGUGCAGAGAUGGAAAGUUCAGUUCAAGGCCGGUAUCAGAACUGUGAGCAAACCAGUUGUCUUUCUAACGGGGGAAGGAAAAUGACAGCUGCCAUUUAUUGAACAUUCACUAUGUGGCAAGCAUUGUGCUAAAUUUGAUACUCCGGCGACCUCUUUUAGUCUCCAUGACAACCCUGUAAAGACAUUUAGAAUUUAGAACCUUUCAUACAGUUCCAUGACUAAAACGUAGCACACCUGGCAUUCCAACCCUUCAUUUCAUUCUACUCUAGCACUAAAGCUAGAAGGGAAGCUUGAGGCCACAUUGUGGAGUGCCAAGAGGUUUGAACUUUUGCCUGGUUUGAACUUUUACCUUCUUAAUCUUUUCCCCGCAUCCCCACAUUUGAGGACAGGACACCUCCAGGAACUGCAGCUCAGCAACAGGGGUUCAGCGUGAGCGCGGCCUGGGGAGGGUCAUCGCCUUUUUGGGGAGUGUGGGGAGAAACGCGGCUCGCCUUGUCGUGGCUGGCGAUACGCCUCUGCAGGAAGGGUGUGUCUCCCCGCUUGAGGAUUCUCCCUAUAGAUAAAGAGGAGACUCAGCAGAGCCUUAAUUAGAGAUCACAGAGGACUGACAACGAGCGUCCGGAAGACGAAUUGGCAGCGAGGUGCAUGGAUUCGAUACAGAAGCUGGAGAUAGAGUCCAGCUAACAGACCACUGCAGUUCGACGGAGCCAGAGUGAGGCAACGAGGAGAGAUGUCGGGGAAGGAAAGGGGAUGGGACUUGGGGACUGGAGCGGCUCGAGAGCGACGGAGAAGGGGGCGUUAGGCUCUAAGGAUUCUCUUACUGUGCCUCCUCCCCGUGUCCUCGGGUGGCGGCUGCGCAGCCCUCCAGCCCUCAGAGCUGCCCUGCAGCACCUUGGCCACUAGGAGGCAGGCCCGCCUUAUCUGGAGCCCCGGCCGCCGCUCACUCCAGGGAGGGCUGCGCUGCUGCUUAAAUUCCAAGUCAGGCCAGCCCCUGGAACGCUUAAUGGGAGCUUAGAUUUAGAACAGUUGAUUUUCAUUGAGACGGAAAUUUGGACAGUCUCCCACUUGAUUGAAAACGGCUAGAAACAAGGCUUACGGUAGAGCAAUGAAUGCCAGAGUGCAGGCGCCGGUGCCCAGGCGGCCCGGGGAACAGGAGGGCCGGAGGAGGAAACAGCUGCCUGCAAAACACCAGCAGCGCCCUUAAUUAACACCAGUGCUGGCCAGGGGGAUUGUGCUUCCGGAAAUUCCCAACGUCCUUUCCCUGCUUGCCCAGGGCCAUUCCAUUAUACAGUUUCAGACCAGUCCCAGGUCUGAAAUGGAAAGAGAUGUUACCCUAGAUGCCCGGAGACAGCGGGGCCGCAGAGACCUCGCACAGCCGAAUAGCAGUGGAGCAGGGAAGGAAGAGCUGAAGGACCCUGGGGAUGAUUGAACAUAGCCUCUCACCAGCGCGCUCAGGAAUUGUCCUGAGAGCAGCAGGAGGAGUGGUAAUCCUGCAAGAGAAGGUGGCUUUGUUGAGAGCCUUUAAAUUCAGCUUUAUUACUCGCCAGUCUCCUUCCUUGUGUUCUGGCCAUAUUUCUUAUCCAUUAGGCAGCCAGCCCUUCACAUGAGAUCCUCCUGGUUUUGCAUUCUUUUCUGCAAUGCUGACACUUCCUUCUAGUUACACCCUUUGGCACUCUAAUCUGUGGUCUUAGUUUUAGUCACUGAUGAAGAUAUUUGGCACAUUAACUCUUAUUUCAGUUAACACCAGAUGAAGUGAACUCAAUUCCUCUUCUCACACAAAAGUUGGCCCCAAACUAGUUCAAAAAUAUAUUUGAAUUCUUUCUUGGCUAGUGUCGGUUAUUUGUGUCCCUUUAGUGAUCUGAUUAAUAUUUGCUUUUGUGAUGGUUGUCACAUCAAGAUAGCUGCAAGCAUUGUUAAAGAGACAUUUGAUAAGAGGGACUACUUACCUGGAAUUCACCCCCAGACCACCGAAAUCUUAACUACUGAUGACAGUUUUGUGUAUCCUUUAAGGAGCUCUUGAACUCUGAAUUCUAUAGAGAAAAUAAAAAGAUUUGUUGAAAAUGACUGACCCCAUGUGGGUUGAGAACUAUAUCCAGUUAACUAAACUGUAAACAGCUAACUGAAUCUGUUAACAGUUAAGUAUGUUAUCUAUAAAAUAAGCUUCAAGUAGCACUGUGUUGUAACUUCUUGGUGCCUCCAAAUUAAGAGUUAAACCCUUAGAUCUGGCUAAGGAAAUGACUUUAUCCUAGCCCAAAGGAGACCUUUUCCUCAACUCUUCCUCCAUUAUUUUUAUUCUCUAUUGUUUACUCAUCGUCUCAUAUGUCCCCUGUCAUGUUACAUUGGAAUCAUUUCUUUUAGAUGCAAACUGCAGCUGAUGUGUUCAUUGGGUCUAUUGCAGCCCCCACCAAGUGUUCACUUCUGGUGAGAGGCAUAUCCAGGGCCUGAGUGCUGGAACCCAAAGAUGACAAGGGUGGAGCAUUGAUGAGUUAACCUCGCAGCUGGAGGGUCUGUGCUGCAUAGUCUCCCCUUGGGCCAUGAGAGCACAUGCUUGAGAAUUACAUAAGCCUGUAGCAGGGCAGGGCUCAGGGCUACGGAAUUGAUAACACCAGUGGGACUAAGGCAUCCACCAUCUGUUCUUUGUUAUGUUCAUGCCCAUCACCAAAGUAAAAAUCACAGUCAUCCUUCUCUCCACCAUUUCUGUCUCAAUCAAUCACUUCCUCCUAGGCUGGCCAAAUUAUCUUCUUCAACUUGCCAGAGGAAGAGGGAAUGUCUUUUGGUAAGGCACAGAGGAGCCCUUGGUUUUCCAGUUACACUCCUGCUAAUUGCAGAGAUUUCUCAGUUCGUGGUAAUCAUGGAGGCUUGCAUCUUUAAGCGCUUGCCAUCUGCAAAAACUGGCCCCAGUUGCUAUCCGGAGAUGGCAUCUCCCACUGAAAUCUGCAUGAACUUUGUCCCUGUGGGCUGCAGGGACCUGAGUAGUUUUCAAGUCCCUGGCUUUUGAUAGGAAGCAAAAAGCUUCUAGAUUGAGUACAGCCUGAAAAAGGAAGAGAAAUCGUGAUACUUCCUGUGUUGCAAUAACAAACACCCGUCCUAACUGCUGCUAGACAGGGAACUGGCAGUUUAACCUCUUCCUGCUCACUAGGGAGGUGGGGCAGGGCGAGUGGGAGUGGGGAGCUCCCCUUUCUUGCAGGCUCCAUCCACAGAACACUUCCUACAAACCCCUUCCUGCCUUUGUAAUCCUAGUGUUGCAAAGCUGCCCUGUCUGCUCUGUGCAGAGCCCUCUCUGUGCUCUGCCUCGCCUGUGCCCUCUCUAAUUGCCCUCUUCCUUACAAAAUCCAGCUGCCGGUUGAGGCUUCUCUCCCUGAAUUUACAGCCGUCUAAUCAACUGGUAAUUUACUUUCAAUCAGUGCCGGAUUGUGUUCCUCAGAUUCAUAUCUCCUUUUUCAUUUAGUGAGGAAAUGAUUGCCUUUCCUCUUUACCAUUUGUUUUAAAUAUUAGCUGCCAUGUUGUGCCGAGCAAUGGUCUCUUAAAUACGAAGGUACGAUCUGGCAGUUCAAGACAGCAUUUGUCCAAAGCUGUCUGAACACUUACAGUGUGCUCGAGGCAAGUCCGCAUGCCUAGGACUGGGGUAGCGUCUGUCAUGCUGUCUUAUGCCCCAGUGACUUAAGUUCUUCAGUUGUCAGUGUCAAAUCUUGAUUUCUAGAGGCUCCUUGUUAUUUAAUUCCAGCCAGGAACUGAUUUCCUUGCAGGCUUCUGUGAGGCCAUCCUGAAUGGCUGCAGUGGGGUGAGGAUGGUCUGGGGCUGUGCUAUGAGGCUUUGACCCUGAAGUUUCACCUGUUAAGAUCUGAAAAACUGCAGGCCAAGAACAUUAACAGGUUGUUUUGUGGCUUGUGGGGCAGGUUGAGUAGCACAGAAGAGAAGCUGGGGAGAUGGAGAGAGAGCAGGCAAGGGGAGAGUCAGAGAUGAAAUGAGUGACCAGUGGGUCAGCUGAGGCUCAUCCGCCCAGACCCUGCUCUUAGGCAUAUCUUGAAUGUGUCCCUGGACAUGCUCUUACAUGUGAAUGAUGUUAGUAAGUCUCAUCCUUUCUGCUGAGAAGCACUUUCCUAGUAGGACAGGAUCGGGGCUGAGGAACUUUCGACCCCAGCCCACUUUCUAGCUAUUUGCUCUUAUUAAAAAUCUUCCUGCUGGCCAGGCACAGUGACUCAAGCCUGUAAUCCCAGCACGUUAGGAGGCUGAGGUGGGCAGAUCACUUGAGCCCAGGAGUUUGAGACCAGCCUGGGCAACAUGGCAAAACCAUAUCUCUACAAAAAAUAGAAAAAUUAGCUGGGUGUGGUAGUGCAUGCCUGUGGUCCUAGCUACUCAGGAGGCUGAGGUGGGAGGAUCACCUGAGCCCAGGGGGGUUGAGGCUGCAGUGAGCCGUGAUCGUGCUACUGCGCUCCAGCCUGGGUGACAGUGUGAGACCCUGUCUAAAAAAAAAAAAAAAAAAUCUUCCUCUGAAGAGCCUGAGGAUUCCUCCCUUCUCCCAACUUCCCAUACUUCUUUUAUUUGUUUGGCUCAUUUUCAAGAGCAUUCUAGAAUUUCUCUAAAGGAGGGCCUUAGUGGUGGCCAUCUAUUUGAAGCGCUAAGGUGGGUAGAACGAUGCUAGAGGACAUGUUUCAAAGUUGCCUGGCAGAGCAGGUAAGCUCCUUUCCUUCACAGGAAACGUAGGAUAAGGGCACAGCUCCUGCAAGCAGCCUGCCUGAGUUCGAGUGCUAGGUGUCUCACUCAGCUUAGUGAUCCCAGACAAGGUUCUUAGCCUCCAUGUAUCUCAGUCUCUCUUUCUAUGGACUUAGGAUAGUAAUAUCAGGAUUCUUGCGAUGAUUAAAUAAAAUAAUGACUGUUAAGUUA
rnacentral:lncRNA from 1 species